rnacentral:rRNA from 1 species
UACGUAGGACCCAAGCGUUAUCCGGAAUCACUGGGCGUAAAGCGUGUGUAGGCGGUGCGUUGAGUGCAAUGCGAAAUUCUGGGGCUCAACCCUAUGAACUGUAUUGCAUACUGGCGUACUGGAGGUCGGCAGAGGCAAGCGGAAUUGGUAGUGUAGCAGUGAAAUGCGUAGAUAUUACCAGGAACACCAAUGGCGAAGGCAGCUUGCUGGGCCGAAUCUGACGCUGAGACACGAAAGCGUGGGGAGCGAACAGG